rnacentral:rRNA from 1 species
GAUGAACGCUGGCGGCGUGCCUAAUACAUGCAAGUCGAGCGAACAGACGAGGAGCUUGCUCCUCUGACGUUAGCGGCGGACGGGUGAGUAACACGUGGAUAACCUACCUAUAAGACUGGGUUAACUUCGGGAAACCGGAGCUAAUACCGGAUAAUAUAUUGAACCGCAUGGUUCAAUAGUGAAAGACGGUUUUGCUGUCACUUAUAGAUGGAUCCGCGCCGCAUUAGCUAGUUGGUAAGGUAACGGCUUACCAAGGCAACGAUGCGUAGCCGACCUGAGAGGGUGAUCGGCCACACUGGAACUGAGACACGGUCCAGACUCCUACGGGAGGCAGCAGUAGGGAAUCUUCCGCAAUGGGCGAAAGCCUGACGGAGCAACGCCGCGUGAGUGAUGAAGGUCUUCGGAUCGUAAAACUCUGUUAUUAGGGAAGAACAAAUGUGUAAGUAACUAUGCACGUCUUGACGGCACCUAAUCAGAAAGCCACGGCUAACUACGUG